GACGAACGCUGGCGGCGUGCUUAACACAUGCAAGUCGAACGGAAAGGCCCCUUUGGGGGUACUCGAGUGGCGAACGGGUGAGUAACACGUGAGUAACCUGCCCUUGACUUCGGGAUAACUUCAGGAAACUGGGGCUAAUACCGGAUAGGAAUCCUUGCUGCAUGGUGGGGGUUGGAAAGCUUCGGCGGUUUUGGAUGGACUCGCGGCUUAUCAGCUUGUUGGUGGGGUAGUGGCUUACCAAGGCUUUGACGGGUAGCCGGCCUGAGAGGGCGACCGGCCACAUUGGGACUGAGAUACGGCCCAGACUCCUACGGGAGGCAGCAGGGGGGAAUAUUGCACAAUGGGCGGAAGUCUGAUGCAGCAACGCCGCGUGCGGGAUGACGGCCUUCGGGUUGUAAACCGCUUUCAGCAGGGGCGAAGCUUGUGGUGACGGUACCUGCAGAAGAAGCACCGGCUAACUACGUG
rnacentral:rRNA from 1 species